rnacentral:tRNA from 1 species
GCCCGAGUGAUGGAAUUGGUAGACGUGCCUGACUCAAAAUCAGGUGGCUUCGGCCGUGCGGGUUCGAGUCCCGCCUUGGGCACCA